UACGUAGGCAGCGAGCGUUGUUCGGAAUUACUGGGCUUAAAGGGUGCGUAGGCUGAUCCGCAAGUGCUCCGUGAAAUCCCCCGGCUCAACCGGGGAACAGCGAGGCAUACUGCGGAUCUUGAGGCAGGUAGGCGCCGAGGGAACAGUAGGUGGAGCGGUGAAAUGCGUAGAUAUCUACUGGAACGCCGAUGGUGAAGACGCUCGGCUGGGCCUGUCCUGACGCUGAGGCACGAAAGCGUGGGGAGCAAACAGG
rnacentral:rRNA from 1 species